GGAUGAAAUGCUGUGAGUCAAGGUGUGUGUAUCUGUGUGUCAGUGUGUAUCUGUGUGCCAGUGUGUGUGUGUGUAUCUGUGUGUCAGAUACAUAUACACACUGACACAGAGAUACACACACCUUGACACACAGAUA